CAGAAGAUGGCACCCAAGGUUAUGCUGAAGGCCAAAGGAAAGAACGCGAAGAAGUCCGCCGCCGUCGCCGAUGAGGACGGUGGAGCUGUGACGGCAGUGUACACUUUUGUCAAGGACUGGACCACAUGGACGGCGAAGAAGGCUAAAGUAAUCACACACUACGGCUUUAUUCCCCUUGUCAUCAUCCUCGGCAUGAACUCUGAACCCAAACCCUCGCUCUCCCAGCUUCUCAGCCCGGUCUGAAAAACCCGAUGUAUGAAAUUACGGCUUCAACCUUUUCCUUCGUUACCAAAUCGAUAUUUUUUCUUUUUAUGCUGUAGUUUGGGUUAUAUAUUUGUCGAUUUGACGCUUAUUAGCAGUUGAUUUUAGAAUUUUUUGCUUUUGAUUUUCAUAUGUAGGAGUUACAAUGUGUCGAUCAACUUUCUAAUGUUAUGUGAGCUGUUCUCUUUCAUAUGAUCUGUUAUGUAUCAG
rnacentral:misc_RNA from 1 species